rnacentral:rRNA from 1 species
CCCUUAGAUGUUCUGGGCCGCACGCGCGCUACACUGAUGCAUUCAACGAGUUUACCUUGGCCGAGAGGCCUGGGCAAUCUUUUAAACCUGCAUCGUGAUAGGGAUAGAUUAUUGCAAUUAUUAAUCUUGAACGAGGAAUUCCUAGUAAACGCAAAUCAUCAAUUUGCGUUGAUUACGUCCCUGCCCAUUGUACACACCGCCCGUCGCACCUACCGAUUGAAUGGUCCGGUGAAGCCUCGGGAUUGUGGCCAGUUCACUUUAUUGGGAGUUGGCUGCGAGAACUUGUCUAAACCUUAUCAUUUAGAGGAAGGUGAAGUCGUAACA